rnacentral:rRNA from 1 species
AACGAACGCUGGCGGCAUGCCUAACACAUGCAAGUCGAACGAGAUCUUCGGGUCUAGUGGCGCACGGGUGCGUAACGCGUGGGAAUCUGCCCUUUGGUUCGGAAUAACAGUUGGAAACGACUGCUAAUACCGGAUGAUGACGAAAGUCCAAAGAUUUAUCGCCAGAGGAUGAGCCCGCGUAGGAUUAGCUAGUUGGUGUGGUAAAGGCGCACCAAGGCGACGAUCCUUAGCUGGUCUGAGAGGAUGAGCAGCCACACUGGGACUGAGACACGGCCCAGACUCCAACGGGAGGCAGAGGUGGGGAAUAUUGGACAAGGGGCGAAAGCGUGAUCAAGCAAUGCCGCGUGAGUGAUGAAGGCCUUAGGGUUGUAAAGCUCUUUUACCGGGGAUGAUAAUGACAGUACCGGGAGAAUAAGCCCCGGCUAACUCCGUGCCAGCCGCCGCCGUAA